rnacentral:tRNA from 1 species
GUAAGAAUGCCAGAGAGUUGUAUGGUAUUGGUUUAGGUCCGGUUUACGGUGUUAUCACCUUCUUAUU